rnacentral:rRNA from 1 species
AUUGAACGCUGGCGGCAGGCCUAACCCAUGCAAGUCGAGCGGAGCGGCGGACGGGUGAGUACAGCCUAGGACUCUGCAUGGUAGUGGGGGAUAAAGUCCGGGAAAGGGCGCUAAUACCGCAUACUAGCAGAUGAGCAUAGGUAGGAUUAGCUAGUUGGUGGGGUAAAGGCCUAGCAAGGCGACGCUCCGUAACUGGUCUGAGAGGAUGAUCAGUAAGACGGGAACUUAGAAACGGUCCAGACUCCUACGGGAGGCAGCAGUGGGAAAUAUUGGACAAUGGGCGAAAGCCUGAUCCAGCCAUGCCGCGUGUGUGAAGAAGGUCUUCGGAUUGUAAAGCACUUUAAGUUGGGAGGCGUUACCAACAGAAUAAGCACCGGCUAACUUCGUGCCAGCAGCCGCGGUAAUAC